rnacentral:misc_RNA from 1 species
GAUGAAGAACGCAGCGAAAUGCGAUAAGUAGUGUGAAUUGCAGAAUUCAGUGAAUCAUCGAAUCUUUGAACGCACAUUGCGCCCGGCAGUAAUCUGCCGGGCAUGCCUGUCCGAGCGUCAUUUCUACCCUCGAGCGAGUCCAGCAUCUAGGUGCUGGGCCUCGCCCGGCGUUGGAGCACUACGGGAAGCCCUGUGCUGUCCCCCGUAGGCCCCGAAAUGAAGUGGCGGUCCUGCCGCGGCGCCCCCUGCGUAGUAUAACAGCUCGCUUCGGGACCCGGUGGAGGCCUGCCGUCAAACCUAUACUCUCUAAGUUUGACCUCGGAUCAGGUAGGGUUAACCGCUGAACUUAAGCAUAUCAAUAAGCGGAGGA